ACAACUACAACAACACAGGAACAACAACCCCGGUGUCUUGAAGUCACCGCAUAGCAGGCAUAGAUGAGCGCUUUGUAUCCAUUUUGCACCUUUGACUCUAAUUAUCACCGCCUACAGAUCGUCUACGUCGACAGGCCUGCUGACAUCGAUGGAUCGCUAAGGAUGAUAUGGUAGUAAGUACGGCGUAGCCGGACAUGAUGGCAUCAGAGAUGCAAUAUUGGUAACUAAAGCGCCCAUAGAAUUUUGUUGGUAUUGUAUUGAUAUUCCUAAUAGUAUAAAAUUAAUAAGAGUAUAAUAGUAUCAGAGCCACAAUUUAUAAUGAA
rnacentral:sRNA from 1 species